rnacentral:lncRNA from 10 species
CAGUCACAGAGUAAAUAAACUAAGACUCAAAACUGGAAGUUAGGUUUGUGGAGUUCUGUCACAAUUAUGAUGACAAUAAUGACUCUGUCUUUUCUCCUACUACUCUCCUCUUCCCUGUCUCCUGUCCAGCCACGUUGCCUCCUGGCUGUUCCUGGAACACUCCAGGUGAUUCCAAAACUCCUCCUAGUUAAGAAACAAUGGAUCAAGCAUCCUCAUUUUACAGAUCGAGGAAACUGAGGCCCAGCAUGGUGCCAUGAUGACUCCAGAUCACUGAGGAAAAGACAGAAGCUGAUUGAGGUCCCAGCUUGGUAACAGUUUGAAGAGUUGCAGGACUGGCUGGAUGAGUACUGGCUGCAGCAAAUCAGGCUGCCAGGAUUCUUUAUGGCUGUUUCUGCUUCCACUACAGCUGAGUCAGAAAGGUCGCUGCCCCGUGGUGGCACUAGACGCAGUGGACCUGGCAAGCAAAUGUUUCCGCUAUUAGCUCUCAGCAACAGAGACUCAUUUAUGGUCACCUUGGAAAUCUGGGCUUAUCGAUCUACAGCCCAAGUCUGCUGAGAAGCUGGAGCUUACUAAAGGGGAAACCUGAGAGCUGUUCAAGCCCCAAAUAUUUUCCACUUCUGCGUCACCUCUGCUGUCUGUUAGCAGAGUGGAGGAGAAAAUACACAGCACAAACAACGUGAAAAAAUAGUUACUCUAUUCAUUAAAAGCUGUAACUUCCAGAUUGGACUUGAGAAGCAAUUAAGCAACAGAGGAACCUCAUCUACUAUCUGUAUUCAGGCAUGCUCAUGAGAACACGCUGCUCCAGCUGGACUUAGAGGAACCCGGUGCAUCACAGGCAUUCCUGACAGAGUCUCGUGGUCCUGCUGGUCCACUCAGUGGUACUCAGUCCUCCUCAUUCUCGGGGAUAGGUUCCAAGACCCCCAGGGGAUGCCUGAAACUGCGGAUGGUACCGAACCCUACAUAUAUUAUGUUUUUUUCCUAUACAUACAUACCUAUGAUAAAGCUUAAUUUACAAAUUAGAUAGAGUAAGAGAUUAACAACAAUUACAGCAAUAUACUGAAAUAAAAGUUAUGUGAAUGUG